GCCGGGUGCCAUGACGCACGCCUGUAAUCCCAGCGGCUCAGGAGGCUGAGGCAGGAGGAUUGCCAGUUCAAAGCCAGCCUCAGCAAAAAGUGAGGCACUAAGCAACUCAGUGAGACCCUGUCUCUA
rnacentral:sRNA from 1 species